AGGAGCCCUCGACCGGAAUCUCCAUUAAAUCGCUUCAUAUCGCAACUUUUGAAGAGUCGUCCAGGAUCGUCUCAGCCGAGUUCGCCGGAAGAAAAUCCGCCGCCCAAGCGUACUACAUCUGAGCCGGAAGAACAUCCCCUGCCGAACAUGCUACCCCAGAGAUCACAUCUUCCUUUGCUAGAACACGUGAGCUGAUUCCGACUUUGGCCUCAAGUUGCUCCCGUCAAUGACAAGUGGGAGGAGUGGGAGUGCUGUGUUCAUGAAAUUGAGUAUCUCAGAAGAAUUUGGUUUGGCACUUAUUUUCCUCAACCUGUUAUUCUUCAAAUGUGCUUCCCAUGGAUUUGAUAAAUUUGGUGAGAUAAUGUUAUGUGUCAGGUAUGGCCAUAAGAUACUCAUGAAACUUAUUUUAUUUUGCCUCACACAAGAUGUAUGUUGUUUAGACUCAUGUACUGCCAGUACUGGUAGAUCGAUGAUCUAAGGAUCAUAUGAAUGAUUAAUGGAGGAUAAUUCAUAUUCA